rnacentral:rRNA from 1 species
GUGGGGAAUAUUGGACAAUGGGCGAAAGCCUGAUCCAGCAAUGCCGCGUGAGUGAUGAAGGCCCUAGGGUUGUAAAGCUCUUUUACCCGGGAUGAUAAUGACAGUACCGGGAGAAUAAGCUCCGGCUAACUUCGUGCCAGCAGCCGCGGUAAUACGAGGGGAGCUAGCGUUGUUCGGAAUUACUGGGCGUAAAGCGCGCGUAGGCGGUUUUUUAAGUCAGAGGUGAAAGCCCGGGGCUCAACCCCGGAAUUGCCUUUGAAACUGGAAAACUAGAAUCUUGGAGAGGUCAGUGGAAUUCCGAGUGUAGAGGUGAAAUUCGUAGAUAUUCGGAAGAACAUCAGUGGCGAAGGCGACUGACUGGACAAGUAUUGACGCUGAGGUGCGAAAGCGUGGGGAGCAAACAGGAUUAGAUACCCCGGUAGUCC